AGUCGUAACAAGGUAUCCGUAGGUGAACCUGCGGAUGGAUCAUUAACAAAGAUCUAAUUACCACGUUCUGUGAACUGUUUUGACCAACAGUCAGCGGGCACACUCGGUCGGCCGAUACGGUGGCGGCAACGUUACCUGGGGGCGAUCGGACCGCUGGCUGUACACCUACUACACGUAUUAAACCCAGACUAAUGUAUGAAGAAGUUGCUUGAACAUGAACAACUUUUAGCAAUGGAUCUCUUGGCUCUC
rnacentral:misc_RNA from 1 species